rnacentral:lncRNA from 1 species
UUUGACUAAUCUUUUGUAUUACAACCUUUUGUAUUCUUUGCCUAUUAUAUAAAGGCUAUUUGAUCAAUGAAAUAAAAUAAGUUGUGAGUGAUUAUUUUUGGAACCUUGAGAGUAAUUCUCAUUUCUUUUCAAUGGUGCGUAAUAUCCAUUGAUCCUAUCGAUUCGUCCUGGUGCGUCAUAUCCAGGGAAUCAUCCUCUUUCUCGUUGGACCGGUGCGUCACAUCCGGCAACAGAUCGAGCCGCUUCCUUGUCGGACCUGUGAGUCAUAUCAGGCGACAUUCAAGCACCCUUGGCAGUAUCAUUGGGUCUUCCGCAUCCCUUUGUGUCGUCGUUCAUCCCACCAGUUCUCAAUCCUACCGGAUCUGAGUCCAUAUCCCCCUUACCGGUCGAGUAGCGUUUCCUAGGGUUUUUCAGUUGGUAUCAGAGCCACUCAACCGGUACUUGUCUGUUCGUUUUUUUUUUCUCAUCUUUCCAUCUUCUUCAUACAUCUUCUAUCUUUCAUCUUCUUUUCUUUAUAAAAAAAAAAAAAAAAAGAGAAAGCUCUACGAAAAGCCAAGAGAUCAUUCCAUCUAAAACUAAAGAAAGACAGAUUUGAGGACAAAUCCUUUUAAAGGAGGAGGGAAUGAUGUGCCCUGAGAACGAGAAGGUAUGGUCAAAUAAUAUAUCAAUCUGACGGUAAUUCAGAGUCCGUCGACCAAGCAAAAGGACGAGAUCAACCGAAGAGUUUUGCGAUCACAAAUUCCCAUUUUCGGUCAAAAGUCUUGGUCUUUGGUCUUUGGUCUUUGGUCAAGUCUUUCUAGUUUUAAUAAGUUGCUAAUUUCUAUGUUUGACUAAUCUUUUGUAUUACAACCUUUUGUAUUCUUUGCCUAUUAUAUAAAGGCUAUUUGAUCAAUGAAAUAAAAUAAGUUGUGAGUGAUUAUUUUUGGAACCUUGAGAGUAAUUCUCAUUUCUUUUCAAUGGUGCGUAAUAUCCAUUGAUCCUAUCGAUUCGUCCUGGUGCGUCAUAUCCAGGGAAUCAUCCUCUUUCUCGUUGGACCGGUGCGUCACAUCCGGCAACAGAUCGAGCCGCUUCCUUGUCGGACCUGUGAGUCAUAUCAGGCGACAUUCAAGCACCCUUGGCAGUAUCAUUGGGUCUUCCGCAUCCCUUUGUGUCGUCGUUCAUCCCACCAGUUCUCAAUCCUACCGGAUCUGAGUCCAUAUCCCCCUUACCGG